rnacentral:snoRNA from 1 species
UGGACCAAAGCUGAGAACGUAUUAGGAACCAAGGAUAAUGGUUAAUCUAAUUCUGAUGUCCCUGAGGUUGAAA